CUCUUUCUGAGAACUUAGGAGACAAUCGAGCUAGCUCACAGAGAAACACCUCCAGCAGCAUUCACUUUGUGCUUACCCCGUGAGUUUGCUUUGUUUAAAUUAUUAUACGCCUCAUCUUUGAUUUAUUAUCCUGACUUGUAUAUAAUUUUAUGGUUAAGAAAGGAUGUUUCUUCAUUUACAUGUAUUAGAAUCAUUUUAGUUACUUUGUUCUGAUAUUAUUGAUGGAAAUUAUGAUAUCGAUCCUGUUUGUAUUUGAUUUAAUUCACUUUUGUUGUUCCUUUCUUCCCCUCUCCAGAGAAACCAGCUGAAUGCAUACGAAAAUAAAAACUCUGGAUUGGAACUCCCUCCCACGUGCUUAUUUGUCCUUGCAGACGAUCAUUGAGUUUAACUCCACCUUAAAUCAAUCAGCAUAAUGCUUAACAUUCUGAUAUCCUUCAAUCCAAGAAAAAAAAUGACACCAAGGGUGGAUGAUAAAUGGAUACAUGGGAAAAUGAAGAGACGGAUGAGUGUGAUGAUGAUGGACAGAUAUGUGGAUAGAUAUAUGCAUGUAUCACAAAUGGAUGAAAGGAUGGAUGACAGAUGGAUAAAUGGAGGAAUGGAUGAACUGACAUUACUGCUUACACAGUCAAAUCUUUAGGACUUGCCCCUCAAAGGUUGAAUAUAAUUUUCUGAGCAGCUUUUCUGCAGUGACAAAGACUCACACUCUUUUCUUUGUUUUGCUGAUAAAGCGACGAAGAGAUGAAUUCAUGUGCCAACCCAAAGAAGAGGUACUUUCUUACCAUUCACCAGCCACUAGGUAAGUUCUGGUCACUUUUACAGAAAUUACUGCAAUCAUGAGUUCUUCUAGAUUCUAUGCUGUUGAGUCUUUCCCUCUGUUCACAGGGAACACUGAGACAAUGUGGAAUUAAUUUGACAAUUUAAGGUUAUUUUUUUAAUAAACAAUAGAUCUUGAUGAAGGAUUUUCAUUUCCUAAUGCAAUUUGGGGUAGUUAAAGAGCCUCAUAGGAAUGUCCCCAGCCUUGGCUUUCUCAAGAGCUCCCUUUGAUUUAAUUUUAAAAGCAGCUCUCAGUAUUAUUUUUUCAAACGGGGAUUGACUGUCAUUAUGUGUCUUUGUCCGUAGUAAGAUUCAAUUCUCUGCAUCACUCUCAGGUGCAGGCACUUUAGGUUGUUAGACAAUUAGUCUUGGAGUAGUUCAAUUUUAGCUUGAUGCCAUAAAAAGCACUGAGCUGGGUGACAAGACACUCCAAUUUGUCCAAUUCCACACUCAUGUGGAUGAGUAAUCAUCCAGCUAUACUUGCUGAUUGGCUCUGAGUAGUGGUUAGUAUGGAACAGCACUGCCUGGUAGAAGACAUGCAGUUCUUAGGUCUUUAUCCUUACUUAAGUCAGAGAUUUCACAAGAAUAACCACCUUAACUUCACAGACUUGCGCAAGAAGAAAUGGAAAAAAGACUAAUACAAAAGGAAAUGAUCAUUUUAUUAUUUCCUCUUUACAAAAAGGGCAAUUAUAUGCUAAAGUGAUCACCACAAGUAAGGGUCAGACCAUCAUGUGAAUCUUGACCACAUGCAGAUAUAAUGUCAUGCACUGAAAAUAACAUUUUGUAUAAAAAUCAGAUGAGAAUGUAAUCAUGUAUGAACAAAAAUACUGGACUGAAAUAUUUCUGGUGCAAUGAGGGUCUAUGAACUCGCAUUUGUGUCAAGCUUUGGGGGAAAAUAGGUACAUUUCACUUGUAUGUAAUUUGCCUUAUUGAUUGUCAAGGGUUGGCCGGCAGCUCUCAAAACAAGAUAGCUUGACAACCAUGAAUGUAUUUCAAAGCUGGAUGGCUCUUAGUUGAGAGGUUGUCAAAGGUAAGAGACACUUCACUGUAAAUCAGCGCAUUACUUGAGCUGUCUGACCCGGCAAGUAGAAACUGAAAAAACUUAAUUAGAUAUACAUCAAUUCAUUAGCAUGAUCUCAAAACUGAAAAGCUCCUUGUCGUCUUCUGAUUACAUAAGUGAAACAAGAAAACACCCCCGUCCAGCACAGAUCAAAAUAAUCCUCAAAAUAAUCCUCAGCUGUUAAAGACAUUAUUAAAGCCAUAAUAGCUAAAUACAAUUCACAUCAUGUGGUGUAGCUUCCUAUAGUCAACAUAUUUAGCUGACAUUUUGAUAAAAUUCACCUUAAAGCCCUCAUUUAUUCUUUAAUCUUCGAAUCAAAAAAGAUGUUUUAGCAUAUGUAUAUUUGAUGAUUGUCCUUUAAGAAUCAAGAAUCUAUUUGGGACGUACCCUCUGAAAAAUGAGCAGAAGUGAUUACAAUGGUUCUUGAUAAUCACAGCUGCCAAUGUGGGUUAUAUUUCAAAUAAAUUGCUGCGUAUCAAAUUCUUCCUUCAUAUUCUGCCUCUUUUGUGGACUUAGUUAUGGUUAUCUUCUUCCAUAUUCUUGGUCGGCAGUUAUUCAAAAAGAACUUAAUGAAGAGGGCACAAAAAUCUUUAAAGAGGACGACGGCACAAUUUAAAUAUUUUAGCUCAACUCAUUAGACACAAAGAGACAGUCAACCAUUUAUUAGUUUAACCUUUGAUGGCUUUAUUAAUCUCUCAGCCAAUUAAACUUAAUAUUUUAAAAAAUAAUGGUACCUUGGGUACACUUAUGUCUGAGGGUUUCAGGUGAUUCAUUUUAGUAAUAAGAUAAAAACUUCACAGAAGAAAUAAAAGACUGAAAGAGUAAAGGGAUAACUCCAACUCUAAUUUGCGUGACGUGGUCAAAAUAAUCAUCUCAAAAAGUUAUUCUGCUGUGGUAUUGUGAGUACAGAAUUAACAUAAUUAAACAAUUAAGUAUCAGGUACAAUAGACAGAAAUUGUGAGGGUGUAUUUAGAACUGAGGGUUUGAAUAGCUAAACUAAUACCAACCAAAAGUUCCACAUUUGAUAUCUCUUCUAGCACAAACUACUGAUGACAAAAGGUUUUGUGGGUGACACAGAAAAUUGUUGAAUUUGUUAGCAUAGGUCUCAAACAGCGCUGUAAUGGAGUUUCUCACCUUGCUUUGCACUUGCACCCCACCCAGCGUCUCAGCGUGUGACCACCUUUAUGCUUCUUUGUGUUACACUCUGUAUAAGAGGUGUCACAGGGCAUAAAUAUCCCACCUUGACAUCAGGAUGUGUACUUCAGUUCAAAUCUUGAAAGCUGAACUGUAUAUACUAAGACAUUUGAUGUGUCCCUUUAUGAGUCACAAAAAGCUGAUUCGACUCAUGUUAAGGAGCAGACUGACUUUCAAUGCUGUAUGCAAAAAAGUGAAGGUGUUUUGUCUGAGUUAAAACCUGCAAACCCAGAGCCUUUAAAUGAAAUAAAUUCCUUUAGACAGUAGUUUCUUGUUUGAUGUAACAGUAGCUGCAGUGAUCACAUGUUUUAGUAAUCCAGUAUUCUCAUGAUUACUCUGGCUAUUAAUUAAGUAACCUAAUGGAAAGCAAUUUUUCUCACAAAACCUAUUUUUCGCCAAUAUUGCUGUAACAAUACAAAUUUCCCUGUUGUGGUAACAAUGAAGGAUUAUCUCCUCUUGUCAUCUUCCUAGGCCUAUAUAAAUAUACUUUAAGUUCAUUAGACUAAUGCAAUUUCACUAAUAACCCAUCGUUAGACUUAAUUAUGCACGGAAAUGUAUCAUCUGAACAGUAUGCAAUUUAAUGAUAAUUGUUAAAGUAGAGAUACACAAGACAGAGAGGGUAAAUGCUGAUAAUCUAUACGUUCACAAAAAUCCUGGCCACCCUUUCCGAUGUCAGUGCCCCACCUAAGUUAAAAAAUUAAAAUAAAAAUAGGACAUGUACCUGCAUAGACCAGCAAAGAAGAAAGUGAGACCUGGUUGCUGUCAAACAGUCAAGUUUGCUCAACAGAAAAAGCAGGACAGCCUUCUGUCCCAGAAAAAAAGGUAAAAAGGUGACAAGCAUACUGUCUAAAUGAUUAUUAAUGGUCAGUCACAGCAUAUCAACACCCAUCAAUAUCAAUCUCCCACCAGUUGAUCAGGAUGUAGUUUUAACCAAACUGAGAGAGUGACAGGAAAGACUCUGCGAGCUUAAAAAUGGAUGUGACAAUAAAAGCAAUAAAAGCCGAUGCUUUUUCUCAAUCACUAACAAGAUAUUUAUGGUGUGACAUUAUACCAAAUGGGACAUAAAAUGAAAUGUUUGAACAGCUUUACAGCUCCAUAGGUCUUAAAGCACUCCAAAAUCAGUCAAUUAAAAGUGGUUUCUUGUCUCUCUCUGUCUCGGGGCAGCAGGUUGGUUCUGACACACUCUCUCUGUGUACUAGAAAAAGAUAAUUAAAUCAAUUACUGUAAAAAUGUUUUUAAAAAUUGUUGGGCUAGUGUUUUUGUUUUACUGCUGGUGGAUGAAGGUUUUUGGGUACAUAAGGCUAUUCAGAGUUUACAUUUGAUAGUUGUUCUAUGGCCAUAAUUCCAUUCAAAGAGAGCAAAGCACAAGGAGCUAUACAGUCUUGAUUUGUACAAAGGCUUGAGGCAAAUUAUUCUCCUUGAGCCUUUUCAAUAACCUCGGUUCUCCAGUCAUUCAAGGAAUCAUUUUAGCUCUAGAUCAAGUGGUCUAACCUCAGAAUCUGGUAAUAUACAGAUUAAACAAGAACAUCUAACAGAUGAUGCUAUAUUAUCAGCAGUGAGGCAAAAAAGGGGAAAGAAAUCCACUGUGCUUUAUGUUGGAGCAGGGAUCAGCUGUUGUCAAGUCUAUUGGACAAGAGAUUACUGACAUGAUCAUACUGGUGUUAUUGAGUUUUUCCAAUCUUCUCAGUAUACACAGGGAUCAUUUUACAUUAGCUCUGGCAACUAAACUUCUACCACUUCCUUUUCAGAUUCUCUGAAGUGAAACUGACCUGACUCAUACCUCCCAACGGACAACUGAAUCACUCACAAGUAAUUUUUUUCUGUCCAUCUAAUGUAUUAAUCUGACAAUCAAGCUGUCAAUUUGCUCAAUAUAAAUAAGAAUAUUUCUUUGUAUUAAAAUCUAGACAUGGAAAAUGCUGAAAAAGCUAUAAGGAGACAAACUCUAUCUUCAGUUUAAAAGAAGCUCAUUAAAAUGAGACUAAAAGGAGGAAAAAAAAGCAUUUUUACAUUUUUCGCGACAGCUUGUCACUUUCUUUGGUUGUUUGUUUCUACAGAAAACUUGCAUCUCUGCUCCAGCCCAAAUCAAGACAUAUUCAAGUCCUGUCACUAAGCCUAAUAAGGCUGUAGCUUUGGCAAAAGUGUC
rnacentral:lncRNA from 1 species